AGAAGAGUGACGCCUGAUACAUUCUGGGCUCAGUGGCUAUAUGCCGUCGCUCGCCAGCAAAGUCGGUUAUACCUAAUCUAAUAGCUAUAUAUUCAUUCAUUUUUCCCUGCGUGGGCCCAGUCUGACCCACUGCGGAUUUGGUUUGGUUUAUACCUGUGUCACCUGGCUUCCGUUCCCGUUGUGCUGCGAGGUCUCGCGUACGCCUUAAUAUUACUCAGGUUGUCCUUGUCCUGCGUUUUCAGAACUCUUUCUAGCUAGCUUGCUAGCUAACCACUCGGAUAACAUCAUAGCUGUUUAGCUACUGGAUAGCUAUAUAGCAGGCUAUAGCUAUAAGAAGAUGACAACCACUGCCGGCGGAGAGUUUGGUAACCCCCUGCGCAAAUUCAAGCUUGUUUUCCUGGGCGAGCAAAGCGUGGGGAAGACCUCGCUCAUCACUAGGUUUAUGUAUGACAGCUUUGACAAUACAUAUCAGGCAACUAUUGGCAUAGAUUUUCUGUCGAAAACCAUGUAUUUGGAGGAUCGUACGGUGCGGCUCCAGCUGUGGGACACUGCGGGGCAGGAGCGCUUCCGUAGCCUCAUUCCCAGCUACAUCCGUGAUUCCACCAUUGCUGUGGUGGUCUAUGAUAUAACCAACCUCAACUCCUUCCAGCAAACCUCAAAAUGGAUUGAUGAUGUCAGAACAGAGAGAGGAAGUGAUGUCAUAAUCAUGCUAGUUGGAAACAAAACAGACUUGGCUGAUAAAAGGGAGGUCACACUAGAGGCUGCUGAGAGGAAAUCUCAGGAACUCGGUGUGAUGCACAUUGAGACCAGUGCCAAGACUGGACAUAACAUCAAACAGACAGAUCACCACAGAAGAGGGCGAGCAGAGAGCUAAGGAACUGAAUGUCAUGUUCAUUGAGACAAGCGCAAAGACUGGCUACAAUGUCAAACAGCUGUUCCGCCGAGUCGCUGCAGCCUUGCCUGGCAUGGAUAGCACGCCUGAGAAAAGCAAAGAGGACAUGAUUGACAUAAAACUAGAGAAGCCUCCGGAACAGCCCGUCACUGAGAGCAGCUGCUCCUGCUAGUGCCUGUCCCCGUUAUUCAUAUCCAACAGCUCGUCUCUCAGUGGCCACUUGCACCAAACACGUAAAAAAACGCCAUUCCCUUCGAUUCAGUGACUUUUUGGAGUAACCUUGUGGAUGUGCUGUUACUUAAGACAAAAAAAGUAAAGUAAAAAAAAAAAAAAAAAAAGAUAAACUAGCUAAAUUACAGGAUAAGUUAAAUGCAGAUGUGCUCAAAAACCUUCAUCUACUACUGCAUGGCAUAUAUAGGAUUGAGACUGAGAUGGCUUCUCCCACCACACUUGAGUUUUCUUGCACUUUUUUGAAGCGAAAUCAGUGUCGUCACACUUUACCAUUGUUGUAUAGUUUAAGAAUAUAUAUCCAUGCACAUGUUGUGACAUCAGUGAAGGCCUCUGCUUCUCCAAAAAAAACACGCUUUUCGUUCGGUUGGUUUGUGGUUUUUGUUUUUUACUCUACAUGGGGUGUGUAAAGAACUGCUUUUGCAAUAGUUGUGCUGAAACUAAACAAAGCUUCUGUCACCAGCGCAUUUGGUCCAAUCUUUGCUUUUCUGCUGUCCGGCUCUGAUCAAGUAUAAAAGGUAGCAGUGGGGUGCAAUUUCACCACUGCAGUUUGUGAAGGUCACUGAGGGCUAAAUAUUAUGAGUUGUAAUUAUGGCUGUUCCACUCAGAGUUCAGCUGCAUUCAGAUGAAAUUACUGUAUAGUGUAUUAAAUUAACAGAAUAUUUAAUGUCCAUUUUGUUUUCUCAUAUGAUACUAUAUCUUAAACAAGGGCAGGCUAUAAGCAGUGUAUAUUGGAACAUGCAUUGAGAAAACAACGGGAUGCGUACUUCAUUUAACCCUUCAUUUUCUCCAUAAACUGGAAAUUGAUAACUCACUUUGCUGUUCACAUAGAAUUGCAUCGUAUUUUAAAAUGCUCAUAUUUUCAGUUGGACAAAUACUGCAUUCCAUUUAGUAUAACUAGAAGAGUUUCCUGACAUGGCUACAUCAGCAGUUUUCAAUGUCUUCAUUACACUAAUGCAGGGAUGUAUGAUACAAUGGCAAGAAAUCUCACAGUUUUAAAGUUUUGAAGGGCUUGCUUGUCCCCAUCCCCCCACAUAUGUAUAGGAUUGAGUUGCAAUGUGGAAUAUUACACAUGUAAGAGGCCUAAGACUUUGAGUCUAUUUGCAAUUUGCAAUUGGAUACGUUUUACAUAGAUACAGCUCUUAAUUGCUCAAACUGAUUGGUGAAUUUGAAUGCAUAUGCAGAGUAUUUAAUGCAUCACUCAAGAUGGCAUCGUAGUUUACUGGUCGUAAAUUUAUUUUGAUUAUGUAGAGUAAAUUGUUUCAUAAUUACUUUGUUUUUUCACACUACCAAUUAUAGUAGCCUGACCUGGUUAUUUCUGCCACCACAGCAUUCUUGAACUCAUGGUUUAUAGUCUCUCUGAACUUGUGCAGUCAUUGUCACACUGCAAAGCAAGUAUUCAGUGAAUGGGAACAGUCAUUUAAUUGUUUUCUCACAUUCACCAUGCACACACAAUCCACCGACGUACACAUACAUACCCCAUCCACCGACGUACACAUAGAUACCCAUUUGCUAGAGUAUGACUUGUAAUUUUAAAAAAAUGUACAUAACUAUUGAAUCGACCUUGUAUGAAAGAGCCCGCUACCUGGAUAGGUCACUUACUAUUGUCACUGAAUACUCAUUCCUGUGCUAUUCUGGAGUGCGUCUGUCCAUUUGAAACAUGCUGUCGAUUAGUCUUUAGCAAAGUGUGUGUGAAUAAUGUACUAUUGCUAUUGGCUGUAUAAGAACAGAAGUGUAUCACAAAAUAAAAAGUAAAAUUUCA